rnacentral:rRNA from 1 species
CAAGCUCGUAGCACUGCACGCGCCCAGUUUCAUGAGCCUAACCCAGUUGCUUUUGAUAACUACAUGCGAUGGCUUCUUGAAAAUACUCGAGUUGAGAUAUGCCCGCCGGCAUAUAAUGAGGAUAUUCUUGAAGAACCCAUAAACUUUGAGGAUCUAUCAAAGGGGAAGUACAACAGAGAUGUCAGGUUAGGGCAAGGAGUCCAUGCUGUUCCGGUGAUUAACUAUGUGCGCACCGAGAUCAAGAAAGCAGCUGAUGAGAGCCAGUCUAUUCUCAAGAACACACCGAUUGGAAAAGGCAAUGAUGAUGGUUCACUACGAGCAUUCCUC